GGGGGUGUAAAGGCUUCGACGGGUAUAGGUGCUGUAUGAUAAGCGAGCCGUGGUUCCAUCUGCACGUUAAUCGGUGGCCGUUUAAAUUUAAACGCAGAUAAUGAUUUAGCACUGGCUGCCUAAGGGCAACCCGUUCUGCCAAUCCGGCUCCCGCAGGAGCGGUAAGAACGUCAUUUAGCGGGAUCGUCUGUGAGCGAGUUUCGUAGUUCCGGGCUAAAUUUUACGAAAUAGCAAUGGCAAAGUGGGUCGGCACACGUUGUCAAAGCGAAAUUUAAUAUGCUGGCUGCGCUCGGAGAAAGUUGUAUGGCAAUAUGUUCGGACGAGGGUUCGACUCCCUCCACCUCCACCA
rnacentral:tmRNA from 1 species